AUUGAACGCUGGCGGCAGGCCUAACACAUGCAAGUCGAGCGGAGCGGCGGACGGGUGUGUAAUGCCUAGGAAUCUGCCUGGUAGUGGGGGAUAACGUCCGGCAACGGGCGCUAAUACCGCAUACUAUCAGAUGAGCCUCGGUUGGAUUAGCUAGUUGGUGGGGUAAAGGCCUACCAAGGCGACGAUCCGUAACUGGUCUGAGAGGAUGAUCAGUCACACUGGAACUGAGACACGGUCCAGGCUCCUACGGGAGGCAGCAGUGGGGAAUAUUUGACAAUGGGCGAAAACAGGAUCCAGCCAUGCCGCGGGUGUGAAGAAGUUCUUCGGAUGGUAAAGCACUUUAAGUUGGGAGGCGUGAACAACAGAAUAAGCACCGGCUAACUUCGUGCCAGCAGCCGCGGUAAUAC
rnacentral:rRNA from 1 species